rnacentral:rRNA from 1 species
UACGGAGGGUGCGAGCGUUAAUCGGAAUUACUGGGCGUAAAGGGUGCGUAGGUUGUUUGUUAAGUUAUCUGUGAAAGCCCUGGGCUUAACCUAGGAAGGCCAGAUAAGACUGAUGAACUGGAGUAUGGGAGAGGGCAGUGGAAUUUCCGGUGUAGCGGUGAAAUGCGUAGAGAUCGGAAGGAACACCAGUGGCGAAGGCGGCUGCCUGGCCCAAUACUGACACUGAGGCACGAAAGCGUGGGGAGCAAACAGG